rnacentral:sRNA from 1 species
GUUUAGCCCCGAUAGAAGCGGUAUCCUUUUCCUUGUCUCGUUUUUAUAAACGAGACAAGGAAAAGAUAUAGCGGAUAGCGGGACUAUAC